UACGAAGGGGACUAGCGUUGUUCGGAAUUACUGGGCGUAAAGCGCACGUAGGCGGAUUUGUUAGUCAGGGGUGAAAUCCCGGGGCUCAACCUCGGAACUGCCUUUGAUACUGCAAAUCUCGAGUCCGAUAGAGGUGGGUGGAAUUCCUAGUGUGGAGGUGAAAUUCGUAGAUAUUAGGAAGAACACCGGUGGCGAAGGCGGCCCACUGGAUCGGUACUGACGCUGAGGUGCGAAAGCGUGGGGAGCAAACAGG
rnacentral:rRNA from 1 species